rnacentral:rRNA from 1 species
AGAACGAACGCUGGCGGCAGGCUUAACACAUGCAAGUCGAACGCUCGUAGCAAUACGGGAGUGGCAGACGGGUGAGUAACGCGUGGGAACAUACCCUCCGGUUCGGAAUAGCUCAGGGAAACUUGGAUUAAUACCGGAUACGGCCGAGAGGCGAAAGAUUUAUCGCCGGAGGAUUGGCCCGCGUUCGAUUAGCUAGUUGGUGAGGUAACGGCUCACCAAGGCGAUGAUCGAUAGCUGGUCUGAGAGGAUGAUCAGCCACAUUGGGACUGAGACACGGCCCAGACUCCUACGGGAGGCAGCAGUGGGGAAUAUUGGACAAUGGGGGCAACCCUGAUCCAGCAAUGCCGCGUGAGUGAUGAAGGCCUUAGGGUUGUAAAGCUCUUUCGCCGCGACGAUGAUGACGGUAGCGGGAGAAGAAGCCCGGCUAACUCGUGCCAGCAGCCGC